rnacentral:rRNA from 1 species
GACGAACGCUGGCGGCGUGCUUAACACGUGCAAGUCGAACGCUGAAGCACCAGCUUGCUGGUGUGGAUGAGUGGCGAACGGGUGAGUAAUACGUGAGUAACCUGCCCUUGACUCUGGGAUAAGCCCGGGAAACUGGGUCUAAUACUGGAUGCUACAUGUCACCGUAUGGUGGUGUGUGGAAAGGGUUUACUGGUCUUGGAUGGGCUCACGGCCUAUCAGCUUGUUGGUGAGGUAAUGGCUCACCAAGGCGACGACGGGUAGCCGGCCUGAGAGGGUGACCGGCCACACUGGGACUGAGACACGGCCCAGACUCCUACGGGAGGCAGCAGUGGGGAAUAUUGCACAAUGGGCGAAAGCCUGAUGCAGCGACGCCGCGUGAGGGAUGACGGCCUUCGGGUUGUAAACCUCUUUCAGCAGGGAAGAAGCCACAAGUGACGGUACCUGCAGAAGAAGCGCCGGCUAACUACGUGCCAGCAGCCGCGGUAA